rnacentral:rRNA from 1 species
UGGUGGAGCGAUUUGUCUGGUUAAUUCCGAUAACGAACGAGACUCUAGCCUGCUAAAUAGGUGUCGGGUUUUUACAUCUCCUCGCAAGGGGAGAGUGGAGUGUGUGGUUGUCGGGAUCCUGGGCUGUGAUGGUCGUUUAGGCUGCGGGGGCAACUUCGUGGUCUGGCCGGCUGUCAUAGUUCACCCGGCGUACGCACACUUCGCGUCCGGCAUUUUUCUUCUUAGAGGGACAAGCGGCGUCCAGCCGCGUGACAGUGAGCAAUAACA